rnacentral:rRNA from 1 species
CCUACGGGUGGCAGCAGUGGGGAAUAUUGCACAAUGGGGGAAACCCUGAUGCAGCGACGCCGCGUGAGGGAAGAAGUACCUCUGUACGUAAAGCUCUAUCAGCAGGGAAGAAAAUCACGGUACCUGUCCACGACGCCCCGGCAAACUCAGGGUCAGCAGCCGCGGUAAUCCGGAGGGGGCAAGCGGUAACCGGGUUGACUGGGUUGAAGGGGAGCGUUGUCGGCAGUUUAAGUCUGGUGUGAAAGCCUGUGGCUCAACCGUGGAACUGCUGUGGAAACUGGGAGGCUGGAGUGCGGGAGGGGCAGGCGGAAUGCGUGGUGUAGCGGUGAAAUGCUUAGAUAUUAGGCAGAACACCGAUUGCGAAGGCAGCUUAC